UACGUAGGGAGCGAGCGUUGUCCGGAAUUACUGGGUGUUAAGGGAGCGUAGGCGGGCGAGAAAGUUGAAUGUUAAAUCUACCGGCUUAACUGGUAGCUGCGUUCAAAACUUCUUGUCUUGAGUGAAGUAGAGGCAGGCGGAAUUCCUAGUGUAGCGGUGAAAUGCGUAGAUAUUAGGAGGAACACCAGUGGCGAAGGCGGCCUGCUGGGCUUUAACUGACGCUGAGGCUCGAAAGCGUGGGGAGCAAACAGG
rnacentral:rRNA from 1 species